GACGAACGCUGGCGGCGUGCCUAACACAUGCAAGUCGAGCAAUGAAAUUCCUUCGGGGAUGGAUUAGCGGCGGACGGGUGAGUAACACGUGGGUAACCUGCCUCAAAGAGGGGGAUAGCCUCCCGAAAGGGAGAUUAAUACCGCAUAACAUUAGUUUUUCGCAUGAAGAACUAAUUAAAGGAGUAAUCCGCUUUGAGAUGGAUCCGCGGCGCAUUAGCUAGUUAGUGAGGUAACGGCUCACCAAGGCGACGAUGCGUAGCCGACCUGAGAGGGUGAUCGGCCACAUUGGAACUGAGACACGGUCCAGACUCCUACGGGAGGCAGCAGUGGGGAAUAUUGCACAAUGGGCGAAAGCCUGAUGCAGCAACGCCGCGUGAGUGAUGAAGGCCUUCGGGUUGUAAAGCUCUGUCUUUUGGGACGAUAAUGACGGUACCAAAGGAGGAAGCCACGGCUAACUACGUGCCAGCCGCCGCGGUAA
rnacentral:rRNA from 1 species